rnacentral:rRNA from 1 species
UACGGAGGGUGCAAGCGUUGUCCGGAUUUAUUGGGUUUAAAGGGUGCGUAGGCGGUUCUUUAAGUCCGGGGUGAAAGCCCACUGCUCAACAGUGGAACUGCCCUGGAAACUGGCGAACUUGAGUACAGACGAGGGUGGCGGAAUGGAUGGUGUAGCGGUGAAAUGCAUAGAUACCAUCCAGAACCCCGAUUGCGAAGGCAGCUUACUAUGGUUUUAUUGACACUGAGGCACGAAAGCGUGGGGAUCAAACAGG